UCUAUGGAUUCAUUACAUCUUUUUAGUUAUUCCGAAAAAGAAAAAGAAUAGAAAAGAGGAAGCUGUCGUUACAAUGAUGUCUAGCUUCCAUCUACGUUCAUUGAUCAAUACUUUCCAGCGAGUCAUGCGCGCGUUAGGAGACCACCGCUCUCUCGACUUCGUUCGUUCCAUUUUCGAUGUCCUUUUUUCUAGAUUCUAUUUACCACCGUCAUGAUUAAGGACAAAAUCUCAAGGCGGGUGUGAUAUGGGGAUAACCGGAUAAUCAUCAAUAACUCCCAACAAAUUGACUUUAGAGAACGACAAAAGUAGGCAAGAAAAUUAUUGGAUUGGCCAACAAUGAGAAGAUAAAAGCCAUGUUGCGUACUCGAAGCUUUAAGACACGUCUGAACAUCCAAGAGAAUGACUCAAACACCUACGGAAGUAAAACGUUUUCUAUAUGUUUCUAAAAUUUUUACUGCAUAAACCUAAAUUACUGCGAAAUAAUAUGAGUGGUGGAUUUGAGACGUUUCUAUGUCAAUCCUGCCGUUGCGUGCGUUUUUGUUUUUAAGCAACGUCAAUUAAUGCCAUACAACUAUCAAAGCAUAAACUUCAUUUUUUUCGUGGAGGUUCGGCUUCACUCUCUAUCCUAAACAUCUCCUGCAAUAAGGACACGCAAAGGUUGAUUACGAUGCUUAAACAAAACAACUUAUAAACUUAUGCAAAAUCGUGUCAUUUUUUUACCUUUCUUUUGACAGCAAGAAUCUGGCUUUUGUUUUCUUUCUCUUCAUGGACACAUUGACCGCACCAGUCUGAGAAUUCCGGUUCAUAAGUUUGCAUCUCUCUAAACAAAGAGCUGCAAUGGAAAAGCAGAAAAAAAAUAUGAUUCAACUGUGAUCUGAAAUCUUGAGGCAAGCUUCAAAGUUUCUUACUUCUGGCACCAAAGAAUCAUAUUGGCCCGACGACCAGAUGCUGUGGCUCUAGCACCAUGGACGUGGCAGCCACGGUGAAGUAUAGCUUGACCCGGUAUAUGGCAGUAAUCAAAAUAUUCCUGCUACAAAGGAAGCUACUCAAAAGGACUCAAAUACCUCUGGCUUUGGAUCUAUAUCCAUAUGUUUAUUGCAUCGUGCGCCUGCGAAAAGUAUUUCUCCUCCCUCACCUUGUUUACUCAAACAAACAUUCAAUGUUAUGUCUGAAUCUUCCACAUGAAAGCCUGCAGAUUUAAAAGAUCACUGCUUAAUCUUAUACUAAACCAGAUUAAUGUUUUGCUAUUAAAGAAUUCACUCUGGUUUUUCUCUAG
rnacentral:lncRNA from 1 species